GCCCCUGGACUCCAAGCUCGGCUGGUCAUUGGAUCCUCCCUGAGUGGGUCGCUUCCCCUCAAACCUGAGGAGUCCGUGGCUCUUGGGGCUGUGUCCGGGCGCCCACCGUCGGAUCUGGAUGAAUGAGAGGAAACUGAGGUCCAGAGAGUGUCAAUAUCAUGUUCUGGGUCACACAGCUCUUAUGUGGCAGAGGCAGAAUUUGAACCUGGGCCAUUUGGACCCCACACACACACACUGGUUUUCACACAUGUUGCUGCCAGCUGAUUGCAUGACCUUGGCCAUGUCCUUCAGCAUGUCUCCAUCUUUGAUGCCUUGAUUGAAAAAUGAAGAACUGGACCUAUCA